AAGCAAGGAAAAAAAAAAAAAAAGUUUUGCACCUUUUGUGUUGAAACUACCCAAUUUUUUUGCUUGCAGUUUUGGUCUAUAUAAUGUGAACCUGACAUACCACCUUACAUUCCCAGCUCCCGGCCAGGUAUUGAGAGCCCAGAAACUGUAAUGUCAGUGGUAACCUGACAACACAAUUCUGGGAAGCUUGAGAAAGAUGAUCAGCCUGCACUUACCUCAGGGUCCAGGAUCUGUGGAACAACAAUGGACAUGUAGAGAGACAACAACACGGAUAUCGUCCCGAACAGAGAAAGGAAUGAGCAAGGCUGCAGGUCCCACGCCAUCUUCUCUUCUAUCCCUUCUUUGCGAUGGGAGGACUAGAAUUGCCCAGCUGCUUACUCUGACUCGUGUAUCCCUCUCCGGUUCUGGAACCCGACUGUUGCACCCUGGACUGGACCACUGAACUUUGACCCCCAACGGUGGACAAGUAUCACCCUGGAAUGGACCCCUCGACCUCGAUCUCCUACAUGGAACCGGACUCCUGGCACGGUCUGCUCAAACCUGGACAACCCUUGCAAUGUAGCCCUGCAAAACGAAAGCACGAUCGGAAAAAAUGAAAACAUGUAUACAGCUCCAAAAAACGUCUUUCUAGAAUCCCAGUGAGCUUUGUAGUGUCUGGUAGUGUUAAAAAAAAAAAAAAGAAAAAACAGCCCAAUAUGGCGGAUGUGAAAAGCAGUCACGGUACAUAAACAAAAAAAAAGAAAAUCCAAGAAAUAAACAGAAAAAUUGUAGCACAGUCCUGAAACAACAAAAAUCCCAAAACAGCAAAACAAAGAAAUCCAAAUCUGUUAAUUACCCUACAGCCAGAAUCCUUCUUUCAGGGAAGCCAAGACUCUCUUCCUUUUUCCUUCUCUUCCAUCUGUUUAACAAUUCUAGCAAACAGUUCAGUUUCUAAAAUGCAACAAGAAAAAGAAAUACAAAAGAAAAAUAAAUCAGGUAAGGGUACAUCGUAAACAGAAAACACAAUAAUUAGUCAUUUCAGUACAAAAAAUAAAAAUAAUUGAUAAAACGUCACUUGUGACACUUACAAGAGACAUAAAACACUGCUUCAUGUAGCAACAGUAUACCAUACAGUACUAUAAUAGACCCCUUUACCCUUGCGCCUUUUCAGUGAAAUGCAAUGGAAAGUGUUAACAUAUGUAGGAUUUGACAUAUUGCAUGUCCCAUUUGUUUUCAGGUACUCCUAUCCAAAGAUCUAAUACUCAUCAUUACAUAUAUGAACAUCAUUUACACAUUUCUGAGUAGAAGGAAUUCUGUUGUUAAACAUUGCUAAUGCGGUAGUGAACAUGUUAUCAAUCAGAAGGACAUCCACUGAUUUCCCAGUGUUAUGUCCGUAUGACC